UACGUAGGGUGCAAGCGUUGUCCGGAAUUAUUGGGCGUAAAGGGCGCGUAGGCGGCAAAUUAAGUCAGCUGUGAAAUCUCCGAGCUUAACUCGGAACGGUCAGCUGAUACUGAUCUGCUAGAGUGCGGAAGGGGCAAUCGGAAUUCUUGGUGUAGCGGUGAAAUGCGUAGAUAUCAAGAGGAACACCUGAGGUGAAGACGGGUUGCUGGGCCGACACUGACGCUGAGUGCGCGAAAGCCAGGGGAGCAAACGGG
rnacentral:rRNA from 1 species